CCCCGGUCGGUGGCCUGGGCGGGCCCGGGGCGUCCUUGUUAGCGCCGGCUCCAGGCCGCCCGCCGCGUCCCUCCUCCCGCGGGCCCGGCCCGGAGCUGAUCGCCCCAGACAGGCUGCGCGGCGCGGCCGAUCCCGGGGGCCGCUGGCGAGGUCCAGAUGCUCCUGUUACUACCGGGGUCAUCGCUGAAGACGCAGAGUCCUGCCCCUGGGGAGGCACCGUGGGUCCCAAAGACUUGCCCUUUGAAGAUCUUUCAAAAUGAGGAUGAGCGCUUCAUAACGUUUUUUAAAAAUAAUGUGUGACAAAAGCUGAACUACAUAAAAGAAGAGCAGAAUUAGUAAACUGCACUGCUCAUUGGAAAAGAAAAAGUCUCACUAAGGAAUAAAGAAGAGACCAUAACCACAGACACUGUGAGGAUCCGAGAGCAGCAUUCAGCCCCAUCUCCUACAUUGGAAGAAUGGAAAAAGCCAAACAUCCAUCACCUUUUUACUUUGACAAAUACAGUACUGUGUCCCAGCGACCCCAGAGGCUGAUAAUCACAGUGUCCUCCAUGCUGAAAGGGGAACUGAGGAAGGCCAAAAGCUCAUCCACCUUCUACUUAACAAAUCGAACUCAGGACCUUGAGCUUUCGAGGCAGGCAGCGGAACCACUGAGCUAAAUCCCUGGCCGUCAUGUGCCUUUGUACAGCAUGGAUAAUUUGAAUAAUUAAAAGAAAAAAGAAUCCAAGUUCUCUGAACAUAUGGCUGGUAACUAACCUUCCUAAUUCAGCAGAAGUACUCAAGCUUUGGAACACAUCACGCAGAGGUGGUGGGUACUGUUGCCCAAGGCCCCGAGGAGAGACAGCAGAACUGCCUCAGAAGCAGGGGCAGAUUGUCGGGCUCCCAGGUGCCUGUGCUGGUCCCUUGCGGUUAUUCUGAGUUUCCCAGGACUAGUGGAAGAACUGAGGGCAGAGAUGCUGAUCAUCUCUGUCCUGGCCCCACCCCAAGGCUGAUAAUCCGGCGGCCCUCACCUCCCUCUUCCUGCCAUUUCCCAGAGCCAUGGAACUCCACAUGUCCUGCUACAAACAGCUGUCACUGCUCACUGGGGGAGCUGAGCCCAGAAAAGCGGCCCUUCCACAUCAGCUCACCUGGGAGAGGUGUUAGCAUCAUCCAGGGAUCAGGAGCCCUAAUAACGGGGAGUGCACAAACCCUGUUUCGUCUGAAUGCCCAAUGAGCAAGACACAUGGGUCACAAGGGACCUCGGAGGGAGAAGCCUCCUGCUGGGUCUGGGGGGGCUCCCUUCUGUAAUCCCAGCACCCAGGAGGCUGAGGCAGAUGGACCUCUUUGAGUAGGAAAUAUAUCUUAGAUCCUAAGGUUAUGAAUGGGGGACUCAGAAGUUAACUGUAUCACACUCAUAUGGCAGGUGCUAUGUGUCCUCGAACUCAAUUCUUUAAUCCAGGCCCAAAUAGAACAAAGAGGCAAAUAUUGCUGUAACCCAGAAAGAUCACCACUGUGCCCCUCUGCUGUUCCAGCUCCAUAGUCUGUGCCAGGCGUGCCCGGGGCUCUCUUAAAGCUGCUCCCUCAUCACUCCACGUCACCACAGUCUUAAACACCCAGAUCCUUCAUCUCCCAGCCCCUGUAUCCCCUUGCAGUACCCCAACUUCCAGAAUAAAUUCUGCUAUGGUCACUUAUUUUAUUUGACUAUUAUUUUUUGAGGGAGGGGAGUUGAGGUAAAGUCUUGCUUUGUGUCCAGGCUGACCUUGAGCUCACUAUGUAGCCAAGAUUGGCCUCUAACUCGAAACUGUCCUCCUCCUUCCCCUCGAAAUUCCAGCUCCCAGGAACCUCAGCUUGCGCUGCUCCUGCAGAAGCCUAGGCUGCGCCUGUCGACUGCCCACAACCUUCGUGUGCCCUCGCUGCAGUUCCCAAGAGGCCUGUGGCCACAGGUCAGCCCCGGCUGGUCCCCCCCACCCAAGGAGGCCUCUUGUGCAGACCAGCCAGUCCCAGGCCCCCAGGCUGCUCUUUCCUGAAGCCUCCAGCAGGGCACCUCCCUGCUGAGCCUGUCGAGGAGCACUCGGAGAGGUGGCUGCAUCUUUUUUUCUUUUCAGACAAGAGUCUGCCUAUGUAGCCCAGGCUGGCCUCAAACUGAAGCAAUCCUCCUGCCUCAGCCUCCCAAGUGCUGGAUGACAGGUACGCACCAUCAUGCCUAGACUUGUACGUGUGUGCGUGUGUGUGUGUGUGUGUGUGUGUGUGUGUGUGGUACCAGGGAUCAAAUUCAGGACCUUGCACUUUCGAGGCAGGCGUGGUGCCACUGAGCUAAAUCCCCAGUCCCCAAUUUUUUUUUGGUACCGG